rnacentral:tRNA from 2 species
GGCCCCAUCGUCUAGUGGACUAGGAUGCCACCCUUUCAAGGUGGAGACACGGGUUCGAACCCCGUUGGGGCUA